rnacentral:rRNA from 1 species
GACGAAGGGGGCUAGCGUUGUUCGGAAUUAUUGGGCGUAAAGCGCGUGUAGGCGGCUCGGUAAGUCUGCUGUGAAAGUCCAGGGCUCAACCCUGGAGUGCCGGUGGAUACUGUCGAGCUCGAGUCCGGAAGAGGCGAGUGGAAUUCCUGGUGUAGCGGUGAAAUGCGCAGAUAUCAGGAGGAACACCAGUGGCGAAGGCGGCCGACUGGUCCGGUUCUGACGCUGAGGCGCGAAAGCCAGGGGAGCAAACGGG